ACACCGGCGGCCCGAGUGGUGAUCGUGAUUAUUGGGUCUAAAGGGUCCGUAGCCGGUUUGGUCAGUCCUCCGGGAAAUCUGAUAGCUCAACUAUUAGGCUUUCGGGGGAUACUGCCAGACUUGGAACCGGGAGAGGUAAGAGGUACUACAGGGGUAGGAGUGAAAUCUUGUAAUCCCUGUGGGACCACCGGUGGCGAAGGCGUCUGACCGGAGCGGGUUCGACGGUGAGGGACGAAAGCUGGGGGCACGAACCGGAUUAGAUACCCGGGUAGUCCCAGCCGUAAACGAUGCUCGCUAGGUGUCAGGCAUGGCGCGACCGUGUCUGGUGCCGCAGGGAAGCCGUGAAGCGAGCCACCUGGGAAGUACGGCCGCAAGGCUGAAACUUAAAGGAAUUGGCGGGG
rnacentral:rRNA from 1 species